AUUAUGAUUUCUUAGAUAGAUCUACAUUUAAAACUAAAACAAUACAUAAAUCCCAAUGAAAGACCCCCGGAGCCGGGAGACCCACGCUCAAGUCUCGGGAUGACACGACCCCCCAAGAACUCACGAGAGACC
rnacentral:pre_miRNA from 14 species